UCUCAUCAUCAUAUUUUAGCUAAUCAGAGCAGAAAUCGCAAAAAUAUAACCAAUAACAAACCUAAAAGCGCAUCAAAAUCAGCCAAUAAUAUCAGGUUACCAAUUGAUGUAACUACACGUCAAUCAUCUCUUCACUCGGUAGAUGCCUCAACACUCGACAGUGAAAGGAAACGAAGCUAAUAUUCUUUUGAAAUUUGACAAUGAGCAAUAAUGAAGAAUACAACAACCGAACUCGUAUCCUAAAAUAGAAGUUUGAAACAAA